rnacentral:snoRNA from 2 species
AAAACAAAUGAUGAUAACAAGACAGGACAUCAGAACCCUGAAUUUCAGGGUUAUGACAGACUAAGUCUAUAAUGGGAAUCUCUCUGAUGUUUU